rnacentral:rRNA from 1 species
AUGUACAUUCCUACAACAUAGCGUUAAUGCACUGGAUCCCAUUAGAACUCUGCAAUUAAGCGCACUCAGGCUAGAGUAGUACUGGGAUGGGUGACCGCCCGGGAAGUCCUAUUGUUUUACAUG